rnacentral:rRNA from 1 species
UGGCGGACGGGUGAGUAAUGUCUGGGAAACUGCCUGAUGGAGGGGGAUAACUACUGGAAACGGUAGCUAAUACCGCAUAACGUCGCAAGACCAAGAGGGGACCUUCGGGCCUCUUGCCAUCGGAUGUGCCCAGAUGGGAUUAGCUAGUAGGUGGGGUAACGGCUCACCUAGGCGACGAUCCCUAGCUGGUCUGAGAGGAUGACCAGCCACACUGGAACUGAGACACGGUCCAG